AGUGAACGCUGGCGGUAGGCCUAACACAUGCAAGUCGAACGGCAGCACAGUAAGAGCUUGCUCUUACGGGUGGCGAGUGGCGGACGGGUGAGGAAUACAUCGGAAUCUACUUUUUCGUGGGGGAUAACGUAGGGAAACUUACGCUAAUACCGCAUACGACCUACGGGUGAAAGCAGGGGAUCUUCGGACCUUGCGCGAUUGAAUGAGCCGAUGUCGGAUUAGCUAGUUGGCGGGGUAAAGGCCCACCAAGGCGACGAUCCGUAGCUGGUCUGAGAGGAUGAUCAGCCACACUGGAACUGAGACACGGUCCAGACUCCUACGGGAGGCAGCAGUGGGGAAUAUUGGACAAUGGGCACAAACCUGAUCCAGCCAUACCGCGUGGGUGAAGAAGGCCUUCGGGUUGUAAAGCCCUUUUGUUGGGAAAGAAAAGCAGCAGGUUAAUACCCCGCUGUUCUGACGGUACCCAAAGAAUAAGCACCGGCUAACUUCGUG
rnacentral:rRNA from 1 species